CAUAGCCACCUUCUCCUAUCUUUCUCUCCUCUGCAAAGUAGUCGGUGGCUACCUCUAUCUCCUCGAUCGUGUACCUCCUGUACCUGAGCGUUGGAGCUCCAUCGUCUGCAGCGGAAAUCGUCGUCUGAAAACGAGUCCAGAUUCGGGGAACGGUGAGGGAAGGUUACCUUCUGUUUAGCUGUACAGAUGCAACUAUGGCUUCAGACUACUUCCUUGUAGCGAGUAAAUGUCAUACCAUGUUCUGAGAUGAUGAGCUCUCAUGAGACACGGAGGAGAAUCCAUUGGCGGAUGAGACUGCGCCCACCGACC